rnacentral:lncRNA from 1 species
UUUAAAGUAAUUUUUCUCAGAGUUAGUGGAGUUGUGAAGAGUUCUUUUAUGAAUAAAUAUGUAAUUAAUACAACUGAUACAUGCAGGUGUUUCACCCAGUAAGUACAAAUUUUUAAAAUAAAAACUGAAAAGCAGACGAGCAUCUUUUUCCCAGACACACUGGGACAAAGCUGAGCAAAUUAAUUCAGAAGCCCAAGAACCUGUGUUACAGAGGAUCUGACUGCAGCCUUCUUAAUUUUACUGUGGAUGAUACCCAAAGCUUCCAGAAUUCCAGCAACCACAGGAAAGAAUUCAUACAUUAUGCAGAUCUCAAAAACCUGAGACAUUUUCUUUUGUGAUUUUGGGUAGCAAGAUUAACUUGAGUGACUGUCAAGAGUCUAUGGGAAAAGCCCAGACCUGGUGCAAGGACAACAGAAACUAUCCCUACUUUGAAAUAAGUGCAAAAAAUGUCAGGAAUGUUAUAAUGGCCUUUGAGGAAGCAACUUGGAGAGUUCUUGAUACAGAGGAUAGACUAGCCACUUAUUC